AGGACCUAUUGGAGGGCAAGUCUGGUGCCAGCAGCCGCGGUAAUUCCAGCUCCAGUAGCGUAUAUUAAAGUUGUUGCGGUUAAAACGUUCGUAGUUGAACUUGUGCUUCAUACGGAUGGUACACCUCUAAAAUAUGGGUUUGUACUUUAUCUUUAAGUAUGUAAGCGUAUUACCGGUGGAGUUCUUAUAUAUUAUGUAAAUUUAUUUUAUAUAAUAUAUUCCUCCUAUAUAAACCUGAUUCAAUGCUCUUUACCGAGUGUUGUUUUGGGCCGGUACAAUUACUUUGAACAAAUUAGAGUGCUUAAAGCAGGCUCUUAAUGCCUGAAUAUUCUGUGCAUGGAAUAAUGGAAUAAGACCUCUGUUCUAAUUUCAUUGGUUUUUAGAUCAAGAGGUAAUGAUUAAUAGAAGCAGUUGGGGGCAUUAGUAUUACGACGCGAGAGGUGAAAUUCUUGGACCGUCGUAAGACUAACUUAAGCGAAAGCAUUUGCCAAAGAUGUUUUCAUUAAUCAAGAACGAAAGUUAGAGGUUCGAAGGCGAUCAGAUACCGCCCUAGUUCUAACCAUAAACGAUGCCAGCCAGCAAUUGGGUGUAGCUACUAUUAUGGCUCUCUCAGUCGCUUCCCGGGAAACCAAAGCUUUUGGGCUCCGGGGGAAGUAUGGUUGCAAAGCUGAAACUUAAAGGAAUUGACGGAAGGGCACCAC
rnacentral:rRNA from 1 species